CAGUAGCCACGGUAAUACGAAGGGUGCAGGCGUUACUCGGAAUUACUGGGCGUAAAGCGUGCGUAGGUGGUGGUUUAAGUCCGUUGUGAAAGCCCUGGGCUCAACCUGGGAAUUGCAGUGGAUACUGGGUCACUAGAGUGUGGUAGAGGAUAGUGGAAUUUCCGGUGUAGCAGUGAAAUGCGUAGAGAUCGGAAGGAACAUCUGUGGCGAAGGCGACUAUCUGGGCCAACACUGACACUGAGGCACGAAAGCGUGGGGAGCAAACAGGAUUAGAUACCCGCGUAGUCCCUGUCUCUUAUAA
rnacentral:rRNA from 1 species